CAUCCGGCUCCACAUCACCUGCCAAUCAAGGAGUCAAUUCACUAGUCAUUCAAGGAGAGAGGCACAAUCAGCCACUAAUGACAGCCAGAUGGCACCUGCCUUUCAUGAACUGUGUUCCGAAGUCAGAGUCUACCUGGGACUAGGCUCGGUGUUCUAUCCCCAGAUCACCUCGGGAAGGCACGCUGUUGGGAGAGCCUGUUGGACUGGCUGGCCAGCGACCACCGCAGGACUGCCUGGCACGUGGCACAGAGCUUGUAAAGAGCCUUUCAGAAGGAGACAACAGAUUUGAUCAUCAUAUUGAAAAAAAAGGUGACAACAGGGGGAAAUGGUGGUGUUUCCCCAUCCUGAC